AACGAACGCUGGCGGCAUGCCUAACACAUGCAAGUCGAACGAGACCUUCGGGUCUAGUGGCGCACGGGUGCGUAACGCGUGGGAAUCUGCCCUUGGGUUCGGAAUAACAGUUAGAAAUGACUGCUAAUACCGGAUGAUGACGUAAGUCCAAAGAUUUAUCGCCCAAGGAUGAGCCCGCGUAGGAUUAGCUUGUUGGUGAGGUAAAAGCUCACCAAGGCGACGAUCCUUAGCUGGUCUGGGAGGAUGAUCAGCCACACUGGGACUGAGACACGGCCCAGACUCCUACGGGAGGCAGCAGUGGGGAAUAUUGGACAAUGGGCGAAAGCCUGAUCCAGCAAUGCCGCGUGAGUGAUGAAGGCCUUAGGGUUGUAAAGCUCUUUUACCCGGGAUGAUAAUGACAGUACCGGGAGAAUAAGCCCCGGCUAACUCCGUGCCAGCAGCCGCGGUAACAC
rnacentral:rRNA from 1 species